AACACAACUGCUGCGCUCCUCCAGGAAAAAAAUACAACAAUCGUCCAGUGUGACAACGGGUCUUCAGCUUACACCAUCUGUACUUCUCCUCUGGACCUGGAGCAGGGAGACACAGGAGGUCCCCUGGUCUGCAAAUGGAACUCCAUUUGGAUUCAGGCCAGUGUGAUUGUCCCUGGCAACAGCACCACGCGCGCUCUCUCAACAACGUCGUUCAUAACGGUCUCACGUUACGCGAGCUUCCUGCAGGAGACUGUGAACUCCAGAGUUCCCCUCAUCUCCAAAAGCAGCCCCAGUGCCCUCUACACCCCCUUCACCCACACAGUCCUCCUCCUGGCUGCACUCCACCUUCUGCUGGCUGCCUGGAUCUCCACAUUCUGAGCCCUCCUUCCCAAACUUUCACUGACAGCUACAGACACACUGAACACCUGAAGAAUGAAACACAUUUGAGUUUUAAACACAGAGAUCCUUUCCUCAGAUCAAUGUAACAUAAACCUUCAGAUCCUGAAUCUUAAUCACCUUCUCGGCCUCAUGAUCUACAGUCCAUGUCACACAGCUCCGCACAGGAUGUAAGAGCUUAAAACUCUUACAUAAAUCCUCAUGGCUAGUUGGGCAAGUUCCAUGUUUUUAACAAAAAGGGGGAACAGACGUCACUGAAUUCAGCUCAACAGAAUCUGCUGACAGCUGAAACCCUCCUCCCCUCAAAAUCCCAUGCUGCCUCAGAAUCGCUGGUAUGAAUCUCCCAUUGUUAUCAGAAUCCAGCUUAGCCAGCGCUCAGAUAGCGAUUCAUCAUCACCGACAUCCCCUGAUAGACAUUGGUCAGCAUCAAUCUCACUCAACUUUACCCACACAACAUCAAUCCUCGACAGCAAUUGGGCAGCAGGAUUCUCCCUGCUGAUUGGUCAACAAGGAACCCGCUCCACAUUGACUGGUCCUGCAUCACCCAAUCUUUCUGUGUUUGAGAAAACCACUGUUUGACUUCAGUGUGCUCAGCUGCUGUCACGCCCAGUACACCUAGAGGGCUCUGUACUUCUCUCCUGUUCCUAGUUCCCUGUGAUUAUUCAUGUCUUUCUG